GACGAUUCAGUCUUUUUUGACGACUCUUCCUGUGACUGCAAUUAAGCGCACGGUUGUCAGGACUUUUCACCAGUUACAGUACCUCCAAGACAAUCGUGGAAGGUAAAUGUGAUGCAGUUUGAGUCUUGCGGUGCCUUCUAGGCUUCUGUAGCGGUCACUCUGCGAAAAUGGGACAAAGAGCAGCGUCUGCAAUGUGUCUGUGAUGCCGAGCACAUGGCACGGCGAGAAGACCACACUGUAAUGGAGGGUAAAGAACCUGACGUUAACACGUGAGCUCUUAGUAGAUCGUGUAAUGAGUCCCCACAUUAAGUUCGCAGAGAUGAGGCCUGAGUGUCCAAGGAACUCCUGAAGAAUCAAGUUUGGAGAUGGAUGAAUAAAGAUCACACUGACUAAAGAUGGAUGCAGCAUCCACAUCAGGCUUCUCAGAGCUCUCAAGGAACAUGAUGUCCUUCCCCUUCCUCCUGGCACUACAGUACUCAGUAGUCCAAACCUGAGUGAAUGUAAAGUCUGCAGCCAUGAGCUGAUGGUGUUCAGACUUGCUUGAUUAGAUGGAGACAGCUGUCUAGCUCAUCCACACAAUGCCAGAAAGCAAUCACCGCAGCAGUUCCGCAGCUGUGUUACUGGGGCACCCCAAGCUGGAUUGCAUUCAGACACAAUGAAUUAACCAGGUGCUGCAACUUGUGAGUUGGGACCCCUGAAAGCUUCAAAGAUGCCCAAUAUCAAGUCAUCCAGGAAACAAAGCAGUAACUGUCUAAAUGCAUCCCCAUUGUUUUUGUUGUUCAUAGAAGUUACUGGCCUCUGAAAUUGGGUUCUUAAAAGUUGUUACCUGCCUUGUUGGUGCAAAGCUUUUUGCCCCCAGCUGUAAAUGGCUGACAUUUACAUGCAUUUAAAGACAUUUCAAAUAAAUGGUUGACAACACAA